AAGGGAAGAAGACUAUUAGUAAGUCAAAUUAUGUUCUUCUAGGUUCAUGGUACAGAAAAAGGAUCACACUACCACCAGGGUCAUAAAACUACUCCUGGAAAUGCCCGCAACUCCUACGAAAGCCUUGUCAAAUAUGUGUUUCUUAGGUUCAUGGUACAGAAGAAGGAUCACACUACCACCAGGGUCAUAAAACUACUCCUGGAAAUGCCCGCAACUCCUACGAAAGCCUUGUCAAAUAUGUGUUUCUUAGGUUCACGGUACAGAAGAAGGAUCACACUACCACCAGGGUCAUAAAACUACUCCUGGAAAUGCCCGCAACUCCUACGAAAGCCUUGUCAAAUGUGUGUUUCUUAGGUUCAUGGUACAGAAGAAGGAUCACACUACCACCAGGGUCAUAAAACUACUCCUGGAAAUGCCCACAACUCCUACGAAAGCCUUGUCAAAUAUGUGUUUCUUAGGUUCAUGGUACAGAAGAAGGGUCACACUACCACCAGGGUCAUCAAACUA